rnacentral:tRNA from 1 species
AGCAGUGUGGCUUAGUGGAUAGAGCACAGGCCUGGGAGUCAGAAGGACCUGGGUUCUAAUCCCAGAUCUGCCA